rnacentral:lncRNA from 1 species
AAAUUAAUGCACCUUAACCCUAAAUCUACGCCUUAUUUCACCCCACCCAACCCAAUUGUCUGUCUUCCUCGCCUUAUUUCUUCCAAAUCACAAUCUUUUUGUUCAGGCUGUCUAGAUCGUUGACCCACUACUACCAGAUCCCUCAAUGGCGACUUCUUGACAUUUGUAGAAAUUCGAUUUGGUCUUGUGGAAGGAUUGUAAUUUGGGAGGUUAUAGUUGCAUCUGCACGUCAUUUUAGUUGUUUCUGAAAUAAUAGUUCUAGUUGUUGCUCUUGAUCUGAGGAGGUAUGAAAUCAUAUUCUGGUUCUACGAUCGAUGCUUGGAUGGUGUGUUAAAAUGAUUGGUUUUUUCAUGUCAACAUUUUUGGGCCAAAAGUUGGAACUCUUAGAUUUCAUCACAACAACCACAAACUUGCAACAUGGUUCAAGAUACAGCUCUAGCUUUAUUAAGAAAUGAAUUCAAGAUGUUAAAGUUUUACACAUUUAUUCCUUUAUAAUUGUAGAACUUGUUUAUACUUUAAAGAAAUAUAUACCUUUGUGUU